CAACAUCAACCAAGGUGGCCGUCUUGUUUAUUGUUGUUAAUUUUGUUAGUAAAUGUUAAUUUGUGGACCUUCCUCCCUCCCUCGUGUGUACGGCUCCAAUUGGUUGUUACUGUAGUGAUAAGACAACUACCAUAUUGCUGCCUCGCUGAUCGUGGUUAAUGAAGUUCCUCGUGUCAUUCGUCGAGGACGGUGACUUGAAGAUGUAAGAUAUGGGCCACAAGACGAAGGUUUGUUUUGGUUAACGGGUCUCUUGCUGCACCACAUUGGAAACUUUUUGUUAUAACAUAAGGUACAG